AUUCACAUCCUUACGGGAUUGCAAUGAGAACAAUUUAAAUCACUUAACGAGGAUCAAUUGGAGGGCAAGUCUGGUGCCAGCAGCCGCGGUAAUUCCAGCUCCAAUAGUGUAUAUUAAAGUUGUUGCAGUUAAAAAGCUCGUAGUUGAACUUCUGACAGUGUGCAGUUUUGGUUUCUAUCAGGCUGCAUUGCUGUCAUCCGUCUGCAAACUCUGUUCAAUCUUCGCUGGUUGGCAGGGGGAGUAGACAUUUUACUUUGAAAAAAUUAGAGUGUUUCAAGCAGGUUAUUGCCAGAAUACUUUAGCAUGGAAUAAUGGAAUAGGACUCUUGUCCAUUUGGUUGGUUAUUGGACCAGAGUAAUGAUUAACAGGGACAGUUGGGGGCAUUAGUAUUUAAUUGUCAGAGGUGAAAUUCAUGGAUUUAUUAAAGACUAACUUAUGCGAAAGCAUUUGCCAAGGAUGUUUUCAUUAAUCAAGUACGAAAGUUAGGGGAUCAAAGACGAUCAGAUACCGUCCUAGUCUUAACUAUAAACGAUGUCGACUCGGGAUUGGAAAGGUUUCCAAUUAUCCUUUCCAGCACCGUAUGAGAAAUCAUUAAGUCUUUGGAUUCUGGGGGGAGUAUGGUCGCAAGGCUGAAACUUAAAGGAAUUGACGGAAGAGCACCACCAGGCGUGGGACCUGCGGCUUAAUUUGACCCAACACGGGAAAACUUAUUUCAGCAAAACAUGAGUGGGAUUGACAGAUUGAGAGCUCUUUCUUGAUUUUAUGGGGUGUGGUGCAUGGCCGUUCUUAGUUGGUGGAGUGAUUUGUCUGGUUAAUUCCGUUAACGAACGAGACCUUAACCUGCUAACUAGUCAGUGUGUUAACCUACGCUCUGUACUUCUUAGAGGGACUAUGGGUAAUAAGCCCAUGGAAGUUUGAGGCAAUAACAGGUCUGUGAUGCCCAUAGAUGUUGAAAGCGGCACGCGCGUCAUACUGUCCAGUAACAGCAAGUUUUACCUCCUCUACCGGAAGGUUAGGGGUAAUCUAUAAAACUGGACGUGGUAGGGAUAGAUCUUUGGAAUUAUAGAUCUUGAACGAAGAAUGCCUAGUAAGUACAAGUCAUCAACUUGUGCUGAUUACGUCCCUGUCCUUUGUACACACCGCCCGUCGCUCCUACCGAUUUCGAGCGAUAUGGUGAAUCUCCUGGACCGUGGGGUCCCUCGUGGGCUUCGUGGAAAGUUUAGUAAACCUUAUCGCUUAGAGGAAGGAAAAGUCGUAACAAGGUA
rnacentral:rRNA from 1 species